UACAGAGGGUGCAAGCGUUAAUCGGAAUUACUGGGCGUAAAGGGCGCGUAGGUGGUUACGUAAGUGAAAUGUGAAAUCCCCGGGCUUAACCUGGGAACUGCAUUUUAGACUGCGUAGCUGGAGUGCAAUAGAGGGUAGUGGAAUUUCCGGUGUAGCGGUGAAAUGCGUAGAUAUCGGAAGGAACACCAGUGGCGAAGGCGGCUACCUGGAUUGACACUGACACUGAGGCGCGAGAGCGUGGGGAGCAAACAGG
rnacentral:rRNA from 1 species